CUAGCCCUCCACCAAUCGCCACGCCCCCAAUCGCUCCCCAAUCCCCACUCCUCUGCCCGUCUCCUCCCCUUCCUCUCCCCUCGCGCCCGCAUCCCCGCCGCCGCACGCCUCUCUCCCUCUCCUCCUCUCCCCUCGUGGACAUGGAGAGAGGGGUCGAUCUAUGGAGAGAGAGGCAGCCACCAACUCCCGUAUCCUCUUCUCUCUCGUUCAUCUCCUCCCCCAAAAAACGGCGGCCUCCUCUGAGCGGGCCGGCCAGGAAGAUCCCGAGCGCAGCGGCGGGUCUCUGUGCACGUGAACAGUCGCCUCCGCCUCCACCUCGUCGCUGGUCGCCGCCCCUCCACCCUAUAGUCUCUCGUUCUGGCGGCGCAUGGAGAAACGGAGAAGGCGCCGGUGGGCAAGAAACCAGCUGCGGAGGGGAGGAUCCGACGGAGGACGAGAGGAUCUGGUAGAGGAGUAACCAUGGAGAAGGGGGGCGCGCGGGUGGCCUUGCUGUAGCCAUUUGCGGCCUCCUCCUCUGCCCCAACCUCUAACCCUAAACCUAACGCAGCAGGGGCAUGGUGCGCAGCCCUGAACCGGACGAUUGUGGCCUCCUUCUCUACUCUCCUGCAGGCCCCAUCUCCGUCAAGCGGCAGUAGCAACAGCAACGGGUUGAGAUUCAUCCAGCCUGUAGUGGACGGAGGAGGAGAGGGUGUGAGUGGAGGAUGGUGUGUGCUGUAGCUGGUUAGAUUGGGGAAUCAGACACUAUCUCCUUAAAUCUGUUGGAUGUUUUGAUUGUGCUGCUACUUAUCAAAGUAUGAAGUACAACACAUUCUACACAUUCACUAGUGACGGAAUGGGAGGAUUCAGCUCAAGCAUUUAUGCUUUAUGGACUAGAAUGCAAUGCUAGAAUUUCAUAGAUGAUAAGAUAUGAGGUGAAGAUUAUCAGAGAUCUCCAAUGUAAAAUCAGUGGGAAAGUUUCAUUAUCAAUGCAACCAGUAUGCUGGUCUGGGGAGAAAUACUAUUUGAGACAGAUCUUGCCUCUUGUACGAAAGCACAAGGUUAUACGUUUUAGCAGGAUAGAUUCUCCUCUUGCAAACAUCGGCAUUCCUCUAAAGUUUCAAAAGCUCCGCUGCCGUGUUAACUACAAUGCGUUAAGAUUUACACCAUCCAUUGAGGCCCUAGGUAACAAGAUGAUAUCAAGUCUCAGGAAGACAUCUUCUAUUGUGCUUCAUCUGAGAUAUGAGAUGGAUAUGCUUGCCUUUUCAGUUUGUACACACGGAUGGACCUACGAUCAUAUAGGAUAUCUGCCUUGGGCUCUACUCUAAGAUCGCAUCUGCAAUGUUGAGCCACGACCGGAGGUGCAGUGGUGGGGUUCGCCGUGGUCGGUCAGCCCCCUGGCAAUGUGUCAACAUUGGCGAUCUCGCCAUCUCUCUACCAUCCCGAGGACCUGCCAAAUUUAGUAACCGUUGAAGAUGCAGAUUUCAUGUCGCAUGUUGAUGUUGUUGUUUGUUGCUUGUCUCAUGGAGCAACACAGGAUUUCUGAUUGCAUUACAUCAAUGGGUACGCAGAGUGGUAUGGCCAUGCUCAUAGGGAACCGAAAUUCCUGGUUUUUGGUCAAUAUUUCGUGUAAGAUUGGAUGGUUUAGUGAUACUGGACCUCCAACCAAUCAUUGCCUGUAUGGUGCUCUAUCUUUGGUCGUGGGUUCACCUCAUUGAUUAUUAUGCCUCAACUUCCAUUGAAGGCAAAAAAUUGCUUUGUUUUUUAUAAUCUGUUCCAGCUUCUGUGUGUUUGAUAUGCUCCUCUUGGUAGUAAGAAGUUCAAACUCGAGCCAUUUGUUUUUGUUAUACAGGCCAGCUCCCGUUCUUGUGAAAACAGGAAACAGACUAAUACAAGCUACAACGGUUCAACAGACUUGCCUCUGAGGAUGGUAAUCGCUGGAUUGCAGUAAAAUGCUGCUGCAGAGGAUGUGAAGCUUGAAGCAAAGCAAGUGCUCACCGUCACCAAGGUGUUGCGGUGUUACGUGGCCCUCCGCGUCUCUGAGCAUGGUGAACAGCGUACGGCUACACAAACAUGUUUCGGAUAAGAGGCACUUCUGCAGCACAUCUUCAGUCGAAUUCUCAGGAGAAUUGGAAGCAUUGUAGAGAAGAAACUUAGUUUUGCAGUAGCUGAUCUGGAAAUAAACCCAAAUUCAGUUAUCUUCUAUUCUUGCUAUCGGGUUACUAUUCGAGCAUCAACUAUAGCCAUUGUGGAGGUACCACCAUAUUUCUACAAUUCUACCCUAUUGCUAUUGCCCUUAUUUAUUACUUCCUUGCUAUCUUUCACUAUUUAGCAUAUAUAAUAUAUUGGGAAUCACUUAAAAUAUGUACAGACUUAAAAGUAGGUACACACAUUUAGGUACACACAUUUAGGUACUCUGUUUCUAUAAGUAAUUGAAGAAAUAAACAUGCGUUCUUUCACUGAAUAAAUAAAAAACUGUGAUAGCUCUAAAUGAUUAUUGUUUUUUUUCCUUGGCAGCGCUUACAAAAUGUACAGUUUCCUGUACCUGCAAUAAUGCUUGUGUUGUGAGAAUUUAAUGUCAAUUGGCAUCAGGCAGCAUGGAUUUAGAACAAAUAGUAAGGAAUGAUGUGAGAUGUUAAAGAAAUAUAUUUGUCUCUUGAUGGGCACUAAACACUUAAAGCUUAGAUAUUUUAAACAAGGGACACAUAAUUAUGGAUUAUGAUUCUGUAAGUUCUCAAAGAAAUGAACAUCUGGGUUUUAACUGACGAAAUAAGCAUUUAUUAUAACCGUAAAUGGUCACUGUUUUCUUCCUUGGCGUAAUGGCGUAAGGGUCUCUCUCCAUCUCACACAAUCUUCCUCUUCUUUCUUCAACCUCAAUUUUCAGCAUAGAAGGGAUGUGUUACUGCUAUCGACAAUGUGCGGGAGCUUGGUACCUUAGUGAAGGGGCUGCAGGUAACUACGAUGUGCGGGAGCUUGGUACCUUAGUGAAGGGGCUGCAGGUAACUACGAUGUAAGUUAAUCUCUCUAGCUUUUCUCAUUACAUAGGUUAGAGCUUUCAAGUUUACGUGUGGGACAUUUAUCUAGCAAGUAUCAAUCUUUUCGUGGAAUGAAUCAGUAUAUUCUACUAAAUUUCCCAUGGAGACCCACUAUUCAUGUUGAACAUUUGUGUGCCCUAUGUACACGAUAAGUAAAAUGAAUGCAUCAAUGAUAUUUUAAUUAAUUUGCUACUUUCUUAUCUUACUGAGGCACAAUAUGCACGGUAACUAAUUAAUAUGCUACUUGCUUAUCCUAUAAGUCUCUGUUUUAGUUAAUUGUAUUUGUUCUUUUUUUAAUUGUGAGAGGUACACAUGUCCAUGUUAUGCACUUAGACAAGCAGUUUGCUCCAGAAAGGAUCAUCAUGUUUGGUGUCUUCUUUGUAACAUUAUUUACUCAUGUUGCUCACGUGGUACUAAUGUUAUUUCCCCUGGUCACUUAAUGGCAUAUUUCUUGUAAGAAAAUCUUUGUUAAACAAGAUUCUGAUAUACCUGAGAUAGAUGCUUCAUGCACUUCCACUUAAGUAGGCAGACUUCAGUCAAAAGACCAUAAUAUGUAUUCUAGCAAUUUAAGAUAAUAUUCAGGAAUAACGACUUUACAGUUUCUUUAUAUUCGAUUACAAACCUUUUGUUGCAUAAGGAACAAAGUGUACAUAAGAGAUCAGUUUAUGCGGUGGAAGGAAAUUAUAGCCUGAAAGGGAGUACAUAGGCGAUAAGUUUACGCGGUGGAAGGAAAUUAUAAGCCUACAAGGGAAUAUGAAGAGCGUUCGGCGACAGGCUCACCAUCCUCGCGGAGACUUGGCACGUGUCGGGAUUCUCCGCCACCCAGAUGCCGAGCGCCUGGCUCGGGGCCGGGCCAGGCGUUCGGGAGAGCGAGGAAGAGGAUGAACUGGCUUUGGAGGCUCGAGGUGCUUCUUGGGAUCACGUUCUGUGCAGUCGUGUCACACUUCAGGGCCUCAGGGGCACGGCGUUCUUUUGGCAGGGAUGAGCUGGACAAAAGUACCCUCGCGUGAUGUAGUCUCUCUAUCUCUGGAUCAUCUUCUAUAAUUUAAUAAUAUCUAAUACUGGUACUAAUUAGUUAUUCUUUCUUGUGAGAGUUAGCUGACCCUAACGGCUUCAAGGCAGCUCCGUCCCUGCACCUCACGUUUGCUACAUUGUUCAUUUCAUGUACUUUGUCUUAAUUUCACCUAUCGAAUUUGUUUUUUAAAUCUAAAAAAGUAAUAUUGUUUUCUCACCUGGUUUCUACCACCAUUCUUGCCUAAAAUGUAAAUUAACACGAAUUUCACGGGAUCGUGCGCCAAGGCGCACAUCUAAAUCUAGUAGUGGUU